rnacentral:rRNA from 1 species
GACGAACGCUGGCGGCGUGCUUAACACAUGCAAGUCGAACGGUGAAGCUCCAGCUUGCUGGAGUGGAUCAGUGGCGAACGGGUGAGUAACACGUGAGCAACCUGCCCCUGACUCUGGAAUAAGCGCUGGAAACGGCGUCUAAUACUGGAUACGAGAAGGGUCCGCAUGGGCACUUUCUGGAAAGUUUUUCGGUUGGGGAUGGGCUCGCGGCCUAUCAGCUUGUUGGUGAGGUAAUGGCUCACCAAGGCGACGACGGGUAGCCGGCCUGAGAGGGCGACCGGCCACACUGGGACUGAGACACGGCCCAGACUCCUACGGGAGGCAGCAGUGGGGAAUAUUGCACAAUGGGCGAAAGCCUGAUGCAGCGACGCCGCGUGAGGGAUGACGGCCUUCGGGUUGUAAACCUCUUUCAGCAGGGAAGAAGCGAAAGGGACGGUACCUGCAGAAGAAGCACCGGCGAACUACGU